AUGACGUAUGCGGCACGAGCUACAUGUUACGGAACGGAGAGAUAACCUGGCAUUAAACAGCACUUCCCCACAGCUCAGAUCCAGCAUCAUGAAAAAGCAUAUCCCAGCAGCACCUGUCACUCACGCCCAGGAGUGCUGCUUUGAGACAGACACCCGUCUGCGACUGCGCGGGUGUUGCAAAAUGAAAGGGACUAAGAGAAAGGAUCGUAUAAACACAAAGGAUAAUACAAGAAUGAAGUUUGAUCACUCCCAGGUGGCAGAUCCUAAUUAUCCUCGACAGCAGAAGGAUCGGCGGUGGCUGCGGAGUCGGGUGGAAACCCCUUCACGGUGGGGUGGUGUGGCCAAGCCGUUUUACAGCACAGACGGACGAUGAUGAAAGUGAGAGAACGCGGGCCCUUCGGCCUGACCCACAGCGGGAGCUAGACUGGCCGUUCAGAUCACCUGCUCUCUACAAUCCUGCUCUGGGCCUCAAAGUGUUGGCAAUAUAGGGCAACUCAGAGCCUCAAUGACAAGCAUGUAAACACUGCCCCCUUUAUAGUAGCAGAGCACAAGGAGUGGGCAGUAAAUUACCAAAACCACGGCA